AACGAACGCUGGCGGCAGGCUUAACACAUGCAAGUCGAACGGAUCCUUCGGGAUUAGUGGCAGACGGGUGAGUAACGCGUGGGAUCGUACCCUUUGCUACGGAAUAACUCAGGGAAACUUGAGCUAAUACCGUAUGUGCCCUACGGGGGAAAGAUUUAUCGGCAAAGGAUCGGCCCGCGUUGGAUUAGCUAGUUGGUGGGGUAAUGGCCUACCAAGGCGACGAUCCAUAGCUGGUCUGAGAGGAUGAUCAGCCACACUGGGACUGAGACACGGCCCAGACUCCUACGGGAGGCAGCAGUGGGGAAUAUUGGACAAGGGGCGCAAGCCUGAUCCAGCCAUGCCGCGUGAGUGAUGAAGGUCUUAGGAUUGUAAAGCUCUUUAACCGGUGAAGAUAAUGACGGUAGCAGGAGAAGAAGCCCCGGCUAACUUCGUG
rnacentral:rRNA from 1 species